rnacentral:misc_RNA from 1 species
GAUGAAGAACGCAGCGAAAUGCGAUACUUGGUGUGAAUUGCAGAAUCCCGUGAACCAUCGAGUCUUUGAACGCAAGUUGCGCCCGAAGCCACUAGGCCGAGGGCACGCCUGCCUGGGCGUCACACGCCGUUGCCCCCCCAUCUACUCCUUCGGGAUUGCGGGGGGGCGGAUGAUGGCCUCCCGUGCGCCUAGCCGCGCGGUUGGCAUAAAUACCAAGUCCUCGGCGACGCACGCCACGACAAUCGGUGGUUGCGAAACCUCGGUUGCCCGUCGUGUGCGUUCGUCGCGCAUCGAGGGCUCGAAAAAAUGCUCGGCUCCGGCUGGGCUUUCAACGCGACCCCAGGUCAGGCGGGGUUACCCACUGAAUUUAAGCAUAUCAAUAAGCGGAGGA